rnacentral:rRNA from 1 species
CCUUCGGGAUGACUUUGUCGCUGUCGAGUGGCGGACGGGUGAGUAACGCGUGGGAAUAUGCCCUUCUCUAAGGAAUAGCCUCUGGAAACGGAGAGUAAUACCUUAUACGCCCUUUGGGGGAAAGAUUUAUCGGAGAAGGAUUAGCCCGCGUUAGAUUAGGUAGUUGGUGGGGUAAUGGCCUACCAAGCCUACGAUCUAUAGCUGGUUUGAGAGGAUGAUC